UACAGAGGGGGCAAGCGUUGUUCGGAAUUACUGGGCGUAAAGGGCGCGUAGGCGGCCUUCUAAGUCAGACGUGAAAUCCCCAGGCUUAACUUGGGAACUGCGUCUGAUACUGGGAGGCUUGAGUGCGGGAGAGGGAUGUGGAAUUCCCGGUGUAGAGGUGAAAUUCGUAGAUAUCGGGAGGAACACCGGUGGCGAAGGCGGCGACCUGGGUAGAUACUGACGCUGAGGUGCGAAAGCGUGGGGAGCAAACAGG
rnacentral:rRNA from 1 species